AUCCAGAGAACUUAGCAGAGAUGCUUUGGUGCCUUCGGGAACUCUGAGACAGGUGCUGCAUGGCUGUCGUCAGCUCGUGUUGUGAAAUGUUGGGUUAAGUCCCGCAACGAGCGCAACCCUUAUCCUUUGUUGCCAGCGGUUCGGCCGGGAACUCAAAGGAGACUGCCGGUGAUAAACCGGAGGAAGGUGGGGAUGACGUCAAGUCAUCAUGGCCCUUACGGCCAGGGCUACACACGUGCUACAAUGGCGCAUACAAAGAGAAGCGACCUCGCGAGAGCAAGCGGACCUCAUAAAGUGCGUCGUAGUCCGGAUUGGAGUCUGCAACUCGACUCCAUGAAGUCGGAAUCGCCAGUAAUCGUAGAUCAGAAUGCUACGGUGAAUACGUUCCCGGGCCUUGUACACACCGCCCGUCACACCAUGGGAGUGGGUUGCAAAAGAAGUAGGUAGCUUAACCUUCGGGAGGGCGCUUACCACUUUGUGAUUCAUGACUGGGGUGAAGUCGUAACAAGGUAAGCGUAGCGAG
rnacentral:rRNA from 1 species